GUGUUAUAUGAGGGGAGAGGUUAACAGCUUCCCUUGAUGAGGAUGGAGAAGUCUUAGUGAAUUUUGCCAUGCAGAGAUGGUUAAGGUAUUGGCACCUACUCUGUGGUAUCUAGUUCGCUGCUUGG